UACGGAGGGUGCUAGCGUUGUUCGGAUUUACUGGGCGUAAAGCGCGUGUAGGCGGGUCGUUAAGUUGGGGGGGAAAACCCGGAGCUCAAAUCCGGAACUGCCUUCAAAACUGGAGACCUGGAGCAUGUCGGAGGCGAGUGGAAUUGCGAGUGGAGAGGUGAAAUUUGUAGAUAUUUGCAGGAACACCAGUGGCGAAGGCGACUCGUUGGGACAUUGCUGACGCGGGGACGCGAAAGCGUGAGGAGCAAACAGG
rnacentral:rRNA from 1 species